rnacentral:piRNA from 1 species
UCUUAUAGGAUUUGAGUUUGGUUAGGUGA